rnacentral:rRNA from 1 species
UACGGAGGGGGCUAGCGUUGUUCGGAAUUACUGGGCGUAAAGCGCGCGUAGGCGGACCUGCAAGUCGGGGGUGAAAGCCCGAGGCUCAACCUCGGAACUGCCUUCGAUACUGCGGGUCUCGAGUCCGGGAGAGGUGAGUGGAAUUCCUAGUGUAGAGGUGAAAUUCGUAGAUAUUAGGAAGAACACCAGUGGCGAAGGCGGCUCACUGGCCCGGUACUGACGCUGAGGCGCGAAAGCGUGGGAG